rnacentral:sRNA from 1 species
GCUGGGUGCAGUGGCGCACGCCUGUAAUCCCAGGGGCUCAGGAGGCUGAGGCAGGAGGAUCUCGAGUUCAAAGUCAGCCUCAGCAACGGAGAGGCACUAAGCAACUCAGUGAGACCCCGUCUCUA